GUAAUGGCCCUGCGCAACGGGCAGGUGUGAACCCCGUCAGGUCCGGAAGGAAGCAGCGGUAAGCAUUAUGUCUGUGUGCCGCGGUAAGUCUUUACCCG
rnacentral:SRP_RNA from 1 species